UACAGAGGUCCCAAGCGUUGUUCGGAUUCACUGGGCGUAAAGGGUGCGUAGGUGGUGAGGUAAGUCGGAUGUGAAAUCUCCGGGCUUAACCCGGAAAUGGCAUUGGAAACUACCUUGCUGGAGGAUUUGAGGGGGGAUUGGAAUACUUGGUGUAGCAGUGAAAUGCGUAGAUAUCAAGUGGAACACCAGUGGCGAAGGCGAAUCCCUGGAAAAUACCUGACACUGAGGCACGAAAGCUAGGGGAGCAAACAGG
rnacentral:rRNA from 1 species